rnacentral:lncRNA from 1 species
AGGAUAGUUUUUAGGUCUUUCAACUAAAUUUCAAAUAUUGUUUCUUUCAAAUUGAUUUAAUUUUUCUUAUAUAGUGAUGAUCUAAUUAGCAUCCUUUUCAACUUCAAGAAUACUUUUAGGUUCAAUUUGUGACACAAAUGCAAAGUGAUUUAAUAUAUCUUUAAUUGAAACUCUAGUUCUAAUUUCUUGAGAUGGAUCACCUAUAAUGAGUGCUUUAGGAUCACCAUAAGCACAUCUCCAUUCCUUGGGGAGGUCAUGUGAACCUUGUUGAGUAGAUGAA